rnacentral:rRNA from 1 species
GACGAACGCUGGCGGCGUGCCUAAUACAUGCAAGUCGAGCGGUCCCUUCGGGGAUAGCGGCGGACGGGUGAGUAACACGUAGGCAACCUGCCUGUAAAACCGGAAUAACUAUCGGAAACGAUAGCUAAGACCGGAUAGCUGGUUUUCUCGCAUGAGAGAAUCAUGAAACACGGGGCAACCUGGGGCGUACAGAUGGGCCUGGGGCGCAUUAGCUAGUUGGUAGGGUAACGGCCUACCAAGGCGACUAUGCGUAGCCGACCUGAGAGGGUGACCGGCCACACUGGGACUGAGACACGGCCCAGACUCCUACGGGAGGCAGCAGUAGGGAAUCUUCCGCAAUGGACGCAAGUCUGACGGAGCAACGCCGCGUGAGUGAUGAAGGUCUUCGGAUCGUAAAGCUCUGUUGCCCUAGACGAACAGCAAGGAGAGUAACUGCUCUUUGUGUGACGGUAUAGGAGAAGAAAGCCCCGGCUAACUACGUGCCAGCCGCCGCCGUAA